AGUGAUCCGGGGACGUUGAACCGCCACCUUCAUGUGGUCACUUGGGUGGCGGGGAGUCAAUAGUGAAACCGACCCAGAAAGCG
rnacentral:ncRNA from 2 species